ensembl:snRNA U4 U4 spliceosomal RNA
CCUAUUGAGCAGGGGCUGUGGUAACAUAGCUGAUGAGGUUCAUCCAAGGCGUGUUUAUUGCUAGUUGAAAACUAUAUUACUCUAAUGGGAAGUGAGAUGUUUUCCAGACAUAGUUGGUGUUCUGAAUAUUUUUUUCCGUUAUGAAAUG